UGGUGAAUUUUGGACAAUGGGCGCAAGCCUGAUCCAGCAAUGCCGCGUGAGUGAAGAAGGCCUUCGGGUUGUAAAGCUCUUUUGUCAGGGAAGAAACGGUGGGGACUAAUACUUCCUGCUAAUGACGGUACCUGAAGAAUAAGCACCGGCUAACUACGUGCCAGCAGCCGCGGUAAUACGUAGGGUGCAAGCGUUAAUCGGAAUUACUGGGCGUAAAGCGUGCGCAGGCGGUUGUGCAAGACAGAUGUGAAAUCCCCGGGCUCAACCUGGGAAUUGCAUUUGUGACUGCACGGCUAGAGUGUGUCAGAGGGGGGUAGAAUUCCACGUGUAGCAGUGAAAUGCGUAGAGAUGUGGAGGAAUACCGAUGGCGAAGGCAGCCCCCUGGGAUAACACUGACGCUCAUGCACGAAAGCGUGGGGAGCAAACAG
rnacentral:rRNA from 1 species